rnacentral:rRNA from 1 species
AGCGAACGCUGGCGGCAGGCUUAGCACAUGCAAGUCGAGCGGACCUUUCGGGGUCAGCGGCGGACGGGUGAGUAACGCGUGGGAACGUGCCUUCCGGUUCGGAAUAACCCUGGGAAACUAGGGCUAAUACCGGAUACGCCCUUAUGGGGAAAGGUUUACUGCCGGAAGAUCGGCCCGCGUCUGAUUAGCUAGUUGGUGGGGUAACGGCCUACCAAGGCGACGAUCAGUAGCUGGUCUGAGAGGAUGAUCAGCCACACUGGGACUGAGACACGGCCCAGACUCCUACGGGAGGCAGCAGUGGGGAAUAUUGGACAAUGGGCGCAAGCCUGAUCCAGCCAUGCCGCGUGAGUGAUGAAGGCCUUAGGGUUGUAAAGCUCUUUUAUCCGGGACGAUAAUGACGGUACCGGAGGAAUAAGCCCCGGCUAACUUCGUG